AACGAACGCUGGCGGCGUGCCUAACACAUGCAAGUCGUGCGAGAAAGUUCCUUCGGGAGCGAGUAAAGCGGCGCACGGGUGAGUAACACGUAGGUAACCUGCCCCCCAGUCUGGAACAACUAGAGGAAACUCUAGCUAAUGCCGGAUGAGACCACGAUCCCUUCGGGGGUUGCGGCCAAAGAUGGCCUCUACUUGUAAGCUAUCGCUGAGGGAUGGGCCUGCGGGCCAUUAGCUUGUUGGUGAGGUAACGGCUCACCAAGGCUGUGAUGGCUAGCUGGUCUGAGAGGAUGACCAGCCACACUGGGACUGAGACACGGCCCAGACUCCUACGGGAGGCAGCAGUGGGGAAUUUUGGACAAUGGGCGCAAGCCUGAUCCAGCCAUGCCGCGUGAGUGAAGAAGGCCUUCGGGUUGUAAAGCUCUUUCGGUUGAAGACGAAACGGUUAGACGUAUAACGACUGACUAAUAGACGGUACUCACAGAAGAAGCACCGGCUAACUACGUG
rnacentral:rRNA from 1 species